rnacentral:rRNA from 1 species
UACGUAGGGGGCAAGCGUUGUCCGGAAUCAUUGGGCGUAAAGAGCGUGUAGGCGGCCUGGUAAGUCCGCUGUGAAAGUCCAGGGCUCAACCCUGGAAUGCCGGUGGAAACUGUCAGGCUCGAGUCCGGAAGAGGCGAGUGGAAUUCCGGGUGUAGCGGUGAAAUGCGUAGAUAUCCGGAGGAACACCGGUGGCGAAGGCGGCGUCCUGGACCAACACUGACACUGAUGAGCGAAAGCCAGGGGAGCAAACGGG